rnacentral:rRNA from 1 species
UACAGAGGUCUCAAGCGUUGUUCGGAUUCAUUGGGCGUAAAGGGUGUGUAGGUGGCGCGCUAAGUCGGGUGUGAAAUUUCGGAGCUUAACUGCGAAACUGCAUUCGAUACUGGCGUGCUUGAGGACUGGAGAGGAGACUGGAAUUCAUGGUGUAGCAGUGAAAUGCGUAGAGAUCAUGAGGAAGACCAGUGGCGAAGGCGGGUCUCUGGACAGUCCCUGACACUGAGACACGAAGGCCAGGGGAGCAAACGGG